CAGUAAAGCACGAGGAAGGACGCAAAGCGAAGCAGCGAGGAAGGACACAAAGCGGGGAAGAAAGGCUGACGAGUCUGUUUGGUGAUCUACACCUUCUUCAUAACCAAAGUUUGUUCUGAUGUCUGCCAUCAUUCCAGCUGACUCACACAGUGGUGAACUUUAUAACAGCUGUCAGAAUGGGAACCAGAACAAUUACCUCAGUGAAAGCCAAAACAUUUUCAUUGUUUAACUAACCAAUGCUAAUCAUGUGACACUUGUUCAGAGUGCAUAGACUGUUGGUAAAGGACCAAAAAAACGAACACAAAGCAAGGAAGGAAGGCUUGAGAGCAGAUACUUUCAUUAUUUCCAUGCAUGGAAACUGAAAUGAUGAUGGUCCUUGUGUAGAGAUCUAGACACUGUUCCCAAGGUGAUGUGAAAUGGUGCAAAGUGCUGUUUAUGUCUUCUGCCUUCACUCUACUAAACCACUACUGCAUGGAUCUUCUGUAUCUUCAAUUAGUACUGUCAUUGGGAAAAAUCAAGACCACUUUUCUGUAGUACAACAUGUAUGUUACAUCCAAUUUUGAGGUGUAUUUUGACCUAUCUCUACCUCAGGAACUGUGAUGACACUGAGGAAAUAUUCUGCAGUCUUCACCAUGGUUACGGUUGAAUAGAGAUUCCCACAUAGCAAUUGCUGUACAGUGUAAUGCCAGCAUGUAUGUUUUUCUAAGAAAGCGACAGUGUGUCGAGGCGGAAGCUGUGCAUCUGGACAGAAUGAGAGUGGUUGUGUUCCAAUGGCUGUAAGCAUGAAAUCACCUGGCCUUGUGUGGAAGACAUCCAUGCAUAGAUCAACCAGGUGUAUACCUCCAAUUUAAACUCCUGAAAAUCCCCAUGGUUGUUGGUGGUGCAGACAGAAUGUGAGCCAGGAAGUACAUUUGUAAAAGCCCAGACAUUCCAUACGUAGGAGUAUCUUUAUUCUUCAAUUGCAUCUUAGCUAAGAAGUUGGAUCUGCUUCACAGGGAGUCAUUGAUGAUCAACCAGGUAGUAGGAUACAGAUCUGAUCAGAUGAAAUCGCUUUAUCUUAACUGGCUGGAAUUUAAAAGAGCUGAGACUACCAUCAGGAAAAUCUACCAUUUAAUAACUCUAACCCAGAACAUUGCUACUGAGUCUACCACACAGUAAUGCUGACUAGAAAAUUGCUAUUGUCUACCACACAGUAACACGAACCCAGAGCUUUGCUUCUAUGUCUUCUUUACAGUAACUCUGAUUCAGAACAUUGCUACCUAGUCUACCACACUGACACUGACCCAGAAUCUUGCUACUGAUUCUACCACACAGUAAUGCUGACUAGAAAAUUGCUAUUGAGUCUACCACACAGUAACACGAACCCAGAGCUUUGCUUCUGUGUCUUCUUUACAGUAACUUUGAUUCAGAACAUUGCUAACGAGUCUACCACACAGUGACACUGACCCAGAAUCUUGCUACUGAUUCUACCACACAGUAAUGUGGACUAGAACAUUGCUAUUAAGAGUUUCCAUGUAGUUACACUGACCAGAGAAGUCCACACAGGAAAAUCAAACAGUAACAUUAACUUAGGAUGUUCUUCCAUACUGUUAUAAUGACACCAAAGUGUAGCUUUUCUAUGGAAAAUUCAGACAGAUAACUGAAGUUACCUGUCAAAUAGGCGCAAUAAACUUUUUAUUAUCUGUUUAAGUUAACUCUCAUGAUACUGAAGGCUGGACUCUGCUGAACACUGGAAGAAAAGCGGAGAUAAACAUGCCACUCACUCUGUGUGACAUUAGUGCAAAAUAUUUUCAAAUGUGAGUGUGAGAUGUAGACAGAAUUAUUUUAAGUAUCAUUCAAGUAAUGUUCAAAGGUGGUAGUGAAAAUCCCUGAAUGUAACAUCAAAGUUCAAAUGACUGAAAGAAAGACAGUUAUACUUACUAGUAAAAAUCUAUAAGAUAAGAUAUUAAAAUAAUGUUUAAAAGUGACAAUAGGUACAGUAAAAUGUGGAUAAUAUGUGUUUUGAUUGAUAAUGUCAAAUAAUAAAGUGUAACUGAUUGUUCCAAUGUAUUUAUAUCAUUUUGUUGAAACAGUUACCUAAAGAAACAAACUAGACCAACAUUUUUGAUCAGUGUAACCCCCCCCCCCCCCGGACAACAAAGUUGUAAGUGGGUGUGGGGCAGGGGAGGGUAUACUGGUUUAAGGUUGUCUGUCUGUCCAUGGACACAAUCUUGUGUGCAUCAUCUCUCCUCAUCCCCUUCUUGACACAAUUUAAUGAAACUUCACACAAGUGAUCAGUAACAACAGUAGUUGUGCACGGGGCAUGUUAGCUUCUUUCAGAAAGAAAAUUGCAGAGUUACAGGACUUUGUUUUUUAUGCCCCUGAAGGGAGGCAUAUAGUUUUUGAACAGUCUGUCGGUCUGUCCGCAAUUUUCGUGUCCGGUCCAUAUCUUUGUCAUCCAUGGAUGGAUUUUCAAAUAACUUGGCAUGAAUGUGUACCACAGUAAGACGGCGUGUCCCGCCCAAGACCAGGUCCGUAGCUCAAAGGUCAAGGUCACACUUAGACGUUAAAUGUCAUUUUUCAUGAUAGUGCAUUCGUGUCCGGUCCAUAUCUUUGUCAUCCAUGGAUGGAUUUUCAAAUAACUUGGCAUGAAUGUGUACCACAGUAAGACGACGUGUCACGCGCAAGACCCAGGUCUGUAGCUCAAAGGUCAAGGUCACACUUAGACGUUAAAGGUCUUAUUUCAUGAUAGUGCAUUGAUGGGUGUGUCCGGUCCAUAUCUUUGUCAUUCAUGCAUGGAUUUUAAAAUUAUUGGGCAUGAAUGUGUACCACAGUAAGACGACGUGUCGCGCGCAAGACCCAGGUCCAUAGGUCAAAGGUCCUAAACUCUAACAUCGGCCAUAACUAUUUAUUCAAAUUGCCAUCGGGGGCAUGUGUCAUCCUAUGGAGACAGCUCUUGUUUGUUAGGCGUAAAAAAAAAAGUUGUUUGUUUCCGGUGGCCCGACCUACCCUAUUUUUUUACCGCCGACCCUAAACUUUUUUAGCAGUAAAAUCGGGCCGCAUAUUUUUGCAAAUAAGUAUAUUAUUAUUUUUAUAGCUCUUUGCACGAAUGGACUACUCCACCGAUCGGGCGAGUGGUUUUGUACGUGGUAACUUUACCAAAUUGAGAAAUUAAUACAUCAGGCAAAAUUACCUGGAUUGACUGGAAUUUACCGGCGAAUCGUAAAAAUAUCAAAACGUCAUGCUGGUAAUUUUCCAUUCCACAAACACGUGCGCCCUAUCGUAAUAUCUUAUUUACAUCGCGGUUACUUUUGACACAAUAAACGCGUGUGGUGCAUUCAUUUUUCAAUGUAAUCGCUUCAAAUUUUCAACACCGCUUGAGAACUAAUGCAGUUUGAGUUCUAUAACAAUUUUAAUAAGAUAUCGACAGGAAUGCAGGCAAAAUUCUUUAAAAACGAUCAGAUUUUCAUAUAAUGUUUUGUAAAAUUUCAAACAGCGCGAUCUUGAUUAUUUACUUCUUUCUUAAAGUAAAUAAACGGUACAUACUAUGGUAAUAAAAUUCAGACUCUUGACCAGAAUGUACAAAAAACACAAUUAAAAAAUCUUAAUGAAAAAGCGGCAGCAAUUUAAAUACAUGGCGUAAAACGAGUUUUGGCAAACAGAUUUGUUAGCACGGCAGAAUAGGUUACGUGACCUCGUGAACGUAAAUAGAAAUGUGGUUUUAAAAUAAAGCAGUAUGAUGUUGUUACGGAUUUUAAUAAGUUUUAAAUUAUUCAUAGUACAUGUAUUUUUUGACACAACACUUUGUUAGAUAUUCUUUUCAAACAAUAAAUGUAAAUUCCUUGAGGGCAAAUAGGUCACAGAGGUAGGCUAUCCACUAUCAUCGUUCACGACACAUUUACAUGUCAGUUUAUUCGGGAUAUUGCACAUUCGCUUUUAAAAAAAGAUAAAAAACUUUUUUAUUGAUUUCUUCUCAACAAUUUAAGGAAUCGAGAAAGUACGAUCAGACAGUGAUGUGUCACAUGGCGCGAAAACAUGACGUAAUGCCAUGACAAUCUCGGGCAACUAUACCGCUUUGAUCUCCACUCCAGAUGCCAUAAUAACUGACACACUUCUUUUAGCUCUUUGAGUGGGUGUUAAUUGAUGGUGAAAACAAGGCUAAUUACUUAGUUUAUCAUCAGAAUAAUUACUGAUAAUUGUUAAUUUUUUUUUUCAUUUUCAACACGGGUCGACGUCGGGUGGAUGAUGAUUAUUGUGUCCAUAUUUUGGGACACUUUUCAAAAUAAUUAUUUUUCGGGAUAACAGAUUGCUACAGUCUUCAUUUUUAAUUAUUUUAGAAAUAAGUCCUGUUUCUUUGAGCCAUAUGAAGUUAUGACGUCUACAACAUCAAAUUUAUGUGAUAGAAUUGGAGGUCCACUAAAGUCUGAGCAAGUCUACUAGAUUUCAGCAGUUGGUGGACCUGCUGAAAAAAGUUAAGGUCGAGGCCUGCAGAGUCUUGAAAAGUCAGGUUUUAGAUGGGAUUUACAGGGUUUUCCCUAGCCCCAAAAAAGGUGGUAAAUUUACCACUUUUUGAGGUCCCCCUUUUCUUAGCAAAGGGGGGCAUGAGUUUUCCCCAAAAAACAAUUUUUCAAAUUAAUUAAAAGUUGAUCAAUUUAAACUAUUAAAAGCCCAAAAGAGUAUCAAAGUAUUCAAGCAAAUCCAAACAUGUCCCCCAAAAUAGUCCCUUUUUUUCCAGAAAAAUAAAUUUAGGGGGACAUAAAUUUCGUAGGGAAAACCCUGGAUUUAUAGUAGUAAGAUGUUGAACAACCACUUGCAGCUUUAUUAAUUCACAAUUUGGGCAUACACCAGUCAAAACUCCAUUGUCUAGCAUUUCCAGUUAAUCCAGAAUUUUAGACUGGAGUAGGGGGUGAUGGUAUUAAUCUCAAUGCAGAUCAAAGAUGCAAAUCAUAUUCCUGGCCAGUGUGCUUUUACUUGGUUUUAGUUUGAAAUAUAAAUGUUGGUUGUUGAAUAAUAUUCAAUAUUAACAUUAUUAUUUAAAGAGAGAAUCCACAACAAGAUUUCAUUCAAGUUUCAUGUUUAAUCAAAUAUAAACCAUGUUCUCCGCAAGUAAUUGCCAACUUCUCCAGAUGAAUUAGCGGUGGAGAAUGAAUGAUAUAGGACACAACGAUCCUAUGACCACUUGAUCCGUAGAUCGACUGCUGUACCUAUUGAGCUAAUCGGAUUGGCUACUCUGGAAAUGAAAAAACAACAACAACAAAACACAAACGUAAAGCAAAUAUUUAUUUCAUAAUAUUUAAAUACACAAACAAAUGGCAUUUUAUAUUGCUAAAACAUCAUCAAAGUCAUUGUACAUUCAGGUGUAAAUCAAACAUAACUAUAGGAUGCAUGUUUAUAAGGUUUAUAAUCUCCCUGUUUGAAACUAUGAUGGUGUUAGGUUUAAAAAAAAAAAAAAAAAAAAAUGCCUACCUACCUACCCUAUUUUUUUUGGCCAUGUCACUGGAAACAAACAACUUCUUUUUUUAGGCCUUACUAUACUAUAUACAUAGACACAAUCUUGUGCACACCAUCUCUCCUCAUCCCAUUGACACAAUUUAAUGAAACUUUACACAAGUGAACUGUUGUUGUGCAUGGGGCAUGUUAGGUUCUUUCAACAACAAAAAUUGCAGAGUUAUGGGACUUUGUUUCUUGUUAACAUACUAUGUACAUGCAGUCUGCAUAUGCAAUCUUGUGCGCGCCUAAUCACCCGAACCCUUGCACACAAUUUAAUGAAACUUCACACAAGGGAUCAGUACUAUCCCUAGUUGUGCAUGGUGCAUGUUACGUUCCAUUAGAUAAAUAUUCUGCAUACUGUGAAAUCAUUAUUAUUCGUGGGGGAUUAAUUUUCGUGGAUUUCGUGGUUGAGCUCAACCACGAAUUUAAGUCCCAAGGAACAAA